rnacentral:tRNA from 1 species
ACAUCGGUGGUGAAACGGUAUCAUGCUUGCCUUCCAUAUAUGUGAGAGCAAGCGGCACGGGUUCGACUCCCGUCCGAUGUA